rnacentral:SRP_RNA from 1 species
GCUGGGCGUGGUGGCACAUGCCUGUAAUCCCAGCUACUCGGGAGGCUGAGGCAGGAGAAUCACUUGAACCCGGGAGGUGGAGGUUGCAGUGAGCCAGAAUCAAGCCACUGCACUCCAGCCUGGGUGACAGAGUGAGAUUUGGCCUCAA